rnacentral:misc_RNA from 1 species
GGGAGAAGUAGAUGAGUUGAAUGAGACUGUUCCCAUUAUAACAAAUGUCGAAAGUGAAUCAAUAGAAGAGGCUCCGACAAGUUCAUCUCAAUCUGAGGAUGUCAGGCGUGAGCUUGUGAUGCUGUCUUUGCCAGCAAUUGCUGGACAGGCCAUUGACCCUUUGGCACAGUUAAUGGAGACUGCUUAUAUUGGGCGCCUGGGUUCUGUGGAAUUAGCUUCAGCUGGUGUCUCAAUAUCAAUUUUUAACAUAAUAUCAAAGCUUUUUAAUAUUCCUCUACUUAGUGUUGCUACAUCUUUUGUCGCUGAAGACAUCGCCAAGAAUGCAACCAAAGUUAACAUGUCAGAGGGGGCAAAAGGCACUGAUGGUAGAUUUCCCACUGGGGUAGCAGAAAGGCAUCAGUUUUCUUCUGUGUCUACCGCAUUAUUUUUAGCUGUUGGCAUCGGCAUAAUUGAAGCUUUGGCUUUGGCGUUGGGAUCUGAACUACUUCUUGGUUUAAUGGGCAUAUCAUCUACUUCACCUAUGAGAGUUCCAGCAAAACAAUUUCUUGCUGUGCGUGCUCUUGGUGCUCCUGCAUUUGUAGUUUCUUUGGCCCUUCAAGGCAUAUUCCGUGGAUUUAAGGAUACAAAGACUCCAGUCUUCUGUUUAGGCAUUGGGAACUUUGCAGCUAUAUUUUUGUUUCCCUUACUUAUGUACUAUUUCGGCUUGGGUGUGUCCGGAGCUGCCAUAUCCACUGUCAUUUCACAAUACCUAGUGGCCUUCUCUAUGAUGUGGUAUUUAAAUCAGAGAGUAAUGAUAUUACCUCCACGAUUUGAAGAGCUGCAAUUUGGUGGCUAUUUAAAAUCUGGUGGAUUUCUCAUUGGAAGAACUCUUUCUGUCCUUUUCACAAUGACACUUGCUA